rnacentral:lncRNA from 10 species
UAGCAACCCUACAAAACACCAGCAAGAUAUCAGAAUGGCCAUAAGGAGAACUUAGUUUACAUAGAAUCAAACAUACAAACAACAACAAAAGCUGGGGAAAAGUUUUGUAUCAUAUAAAGCCAAGGAAACCGAGGAAAUACUAUUUCUAAGAAUGAUCUUUAAUGGAAAGAAAAUCUCAACACCUUAUUUGAUCUGGAAACAAAACGUGGAAACACAGGAGGGAUGUCAGUGGCUAAACAAUACUGCCAUGUGACAACAGGAUAUCUAUGGAAAUUGAAAUAUAUGUGAGAGGGAAAUAGAAUAGGCUAAAGAGAGGGACAGAGAGAAGGGAUUCUAGCACUGAUCUAAUUCAUAAUCAUAUCUUUAGUUUCUUAAUACAGUACCCUGUAACAGACCAAGCACACAUCAAAUAUAUGUUGAAUAAAUGCAUGAUUAAAAGAUGUUAUGUUUCAA